rnacentral:rRNA from 1 species
UCCUACGGGAGGCAGCAGUAGGGAAUCUUCGGCAAUGGACGGAAGUCUGACCGAGCAACGCCGCGUGAGUGAAGAAGGUUUUCGGAUCGUAAAGCUCUGUUGUAAGAGAAGAACGAGUGUGAGAGUGGAAAGUUCACACUGUGACGGUAUCUUACCAGAAAGGGACGGCUAACUACGUGCCAGCAGCCGCGGUAAUACGUAGGUCCCGAGCGUUGUCCGGAUUUAUUGGGCGUAAAGCGAGCGCAGGCGGUUAGAUAAGUCUGAAGUUAAAGGCUGUGGCUUAACCAUAGUAGGCUUUGGAAACUGUUUAACUUGAGUGCAAGAGGGGAGAGUGGAAUUCCAUGUGUAGCGGUGAAAUGCGUAGAUAUAUGGAGGAACACCGGUGGCGAAAGCGGCUCUCUGGCUUGUAACUGACGCUGAGGCUCGAAAGCGUGGGGAGCAAACAGGAUUAGAUACCCUGGUAGUCCACGCUGUAAACGAUGAGUGCUAGGUGUUAGACCCUUUCCGGGGUUUAGUGCCGUAGCUAACGCAUUAAGCACUCCGCCUGGGGAGUACGACCGCAAGGUUGAAACUCAAAGGAAUUGACGG